GUGCUCACUUCAGCAGCACAUAUACUAAAAUUGGAAUGAUACAGAGAAGAUUAGCAUGGCCCUUGCAUAAGGAUGACAUGCGAAUUUGUGAAGCGUUCUAUAAAAUG
rnacentral:snRNA from 1 species